AUCCAGCUGACGAGUCCCAAAUAUUACGAAACGCUUGUUCUGGAU
rfam:Schistosoma rodhaini strain Burundi genome assembly, scaffold: SROB_scaffold0002437